rnacentral:rRNA from 1 species
AGUGAACGCUGGCGGUAGGCCUAACACAUGCAAGUCGAACGGCAGCACAGUAAGAGCUUGCUCUUACGGGUGGCGAGUGGCGGACGGGUGAGGAAUACAUCGGAAUCUACUUUUUCGUGGGGGAUAACGUAGGGAAACUUACGCUAAUACCGCAUACGACCUACGGGUGAAAGCAGGGGAUCUUCGGACCUUGCGCGAUUGAAUGAGCCGAUGUCGGAUUAGCUAGUUGGCGGGGUAAAGGCCCACCAAGGCGACGAUCCGUAGCUGGUCUGAGAGGAUGGUCAGCCACACUGGAACUGAGACACGGUCCAGACUCCUACGGGAGGCAGCAGUGGGGAAUAUUGGACAAUGGGCGCAAGCCUGAUCCAGCCAUACCGCGUGGGUGAAGAAGGCCUUCGGGUUGUAAAGCCCUUUUGUUGGGAAAGAAAAGCAGCAGGUUAAUACCCCGCUGUUCGGACGGUACCCAAAGAAUAAGCACCGGCUAACUUCGU